rnacentral:rRNA from 1 species
AGCGAACGCUGGCGGCAGGCCUAACACAUGCAAGUCGAACGAAGUCUUCGGACUUAGUGGCGGACGGGUGAGUAACACGUGGGAACGUGCCUUUAGGUUCGGAAUAACUCAGGGAAACUUGUGCUAAUACCGAAUGUGCCCUUCGGGGGAAAGAUUUAUCGCCUUUAGAGCGGCCCGCGUCUGAUUAGCUAGUUGGUGAGGUAAAGGCUCACCAAGGCGACGAUCAGUAGCUGGACUGAGAGGAUGAUCAGCCACAUUGGGACUGAGACACGGCCCAAACUCCUACGGGAGGCAGCAGUGGGGAAUCUUGCGCAAUGGGCGAAGGCCUGACGCAGCCAUGCCGCGUGAAUGAUGAAGGUCUUAGGAUUGUAAAAUUCUUUCACCGGGGACGAUAAUGACGGUACCCGGAGAAGAAGCCCCGGCUAACUUCGUGCCAGCAGCCGCAGUAACAC